AGCUUUGCGCAGUGGCAGUAUUGUAGCCAAUGAGGUUUAUCGAAAGCACGAUUAUUACUAAUUGAAAACUUUUCCCAAUACCCUAACAUGAUGACUUGAAAUGUAGUCGGCAUUGGCAAUUUUUGACAGUCUCUACAGAGA
ensembl:snRNA U4 U4 spliceosomal RNA